rnacentral:rRNA from 1 species
AUUGAACGCUGGCGGCAGGCCUAACACAUGCAAGUCGAGCGAGCGGCGGACGGGAGAGUAAUGUAUGGGGACUGCACGAUAGAGGGGGAUAACUAAUGGAAACGGUGGCUAAUACCGCAUCCUAUCGGAUAACCCAUAUGGGAUUAGCUAGUAGGUGGGGUAAAGACUCACCUAGGCGACGAUCGAUAGCUGGUCUGAGAGGAUGAUCAGCCACACGGGGACUGAGACACGGCCCAGACUACUACGGAGGCAGCAGUGGGGAAUAUUGCACAAUGGGCGCAAGACUGAUGCAGCGACGACGCGUGGGGGAUGAAGGCUUUCGGGUUGUAAACCUCUUUCGCUAUCGAACGGGUAGGUGGAGAAGAAGCGCCGGCUAACUACGUGCCAGCAGCCGCGGUAAUG